CAGGCACCGACCGCCACGAGCUCACUUCCUGGAAGAGCUUCCCGUCUAUUUUCAAAUUCUUUACCGAAGCCUCUGAGGCCAAGACCAGUUCUCUGAAGCCGGCUCUGACGCGACGCUCCCACCGAAUAAAACACGAAGAGCUGUAAGAGGAGAGCGGGCGCGACGGGGCGGGACGCCGGGAACCGCGCCCGGGCGCGUCCUCUUCAUGGCGAGCAGCCUCCCAAGCCCCUCAUUAGAUUGUUUUCUUCCUAGAGCACAGGGUCGUGAUAUGUACAUCUAAGUAGCGUUUUGCAUUAUUUCUAGAUGAGUGCAACUGUCAAAGCAAUAUGGGUUCACUGGUCGCGCUUCCCGCGGGCCGAGCUCGGCUCCGCGCUGCCGGCCCGCGCGCAGAUCCGGGCUGACAGCGCCCGGCCCGCGCCGUCGGCCGCUCUAAUUGCCUGGCGGAGCCAUGGGCGCCCGCGGCGUCUGCGCGGUCCUACCGCCCGCGGCAGCGAGGCCGCCCCGCCGCCUCCCUCCGGACCACGUCCGCUUUACCCGGCCUGAACGAACGGAGCACGCUUUUAUUCUCCACCUCAAAACUUCCACCUUAACUUUUUUUCUUUCUCUUUCUUUUUCUUUCUUCCUUCCUUCCUUCUUCUUUCCUUCCUUCCUCUCUUUCCU